rnacentral:misc_RNA from 1 species
AUUUUUAUUCAAUUAAAUAAUAUACCAAUAAUAAAUGGGGAUAAAAUCUCAUGAUGUUAUCUCUCAAGUCUUAAUAUCCAAUUAAUUGAAAUAUGGCUGGAAGUAGGUUUCAUCAUUUCGCCUUUGGAUUACUAUUUCUCAACUCUGUAGUUGACUGAUGAAUAUAUAAUGAGAAAAGGAUCUUUGUUGUAUUGAAGUAGUGUUAAAUUAUUAUGAUAUAGAUGAAAUUUAGCAGUGCCUUGGAACCAAACCCUGUGCUAGCUGUACCUUAAAAGCAAACACCGUGUGUGUGUGAGCACUCGCGUUGGGGUGUGCAUUGUAUAUCACAAAUACUCUUUGCGUAUCCAUAUGUGAGUGCACCCAUCUGAGUCAAAGGGGUUACAGGUUUAGAAAUUGUUAGUUGGAGUUUGAAAAUAAUAUAAAUCUGACACCUUGUUUUGCAGUUGCUCUUCUCCAGGGAAUCUU